rnacentral:lncRNA from 1 species
ACAUUGCAAUGCACGGGAAGUUAACUUGGUGCGUUGGUGUUAUGUAGAUGCACAAAUGCCACGCAACCAAAAACAUGAGGAGGUAGAUUUGGGACAGUUGGGGCAAUUGCGACAUUAGUAAGACCUUGGAGAGGUGUUUGGAAGUUAAUUGAGCUAGAAAGUACAUGAUUGAUCAAGUAUGUGGCAAAUGUGAUUGCUUCUCCCUAAUAAAAUAUCGAUACUUUUUCUGCUAUCAAGGAAGCACGAACAACCUCUAACAAGUGCCGAUUUUUUCAUUCAGCGACUCCAUUUUGUUGGGGUGUAUUGGAACAAGUAAUCUGAUGAAUGAUGUCAUGUCCUUCCAAAUAAUUUUAAAGAUCAGAACUCUGAUAUUCUCCACCAUUAUCGCUACACAAAACCCAAACCUUUGCAUUGUACUGAGUUUCAAUCAUUUUAUGAAAUUUUUGAAACAACAAGUUCACUUCAUCUUUGGUCUUCAUCAAGCAUAACCAUGUCAUUCUAGUACAAUCAUCAAUAAAAGUAACAAACCAACGCGAACCACUCAAAGUUGGGACUUUGGAUGGGCCCCAAACAUCAGAAUGUAUAACCAUAAAAGGAAACGGACUUUUAUUCAAAAUUAACGAAAAUGAAGCACGAUGACUUUUAGCCAAUUCAAAAAUAUCACAACGGAAACUAGAAAUAUCACUUUUUGCAAACAAACUAAGAAACAAUUUUUUUAAAUAACCAAAUGAAGCAUGUCCUAGACGUCGAUGCCACAACCCAAUUUUAGACUUUUUCCUUUCCCCCUCAGGUCCAUCUGCCAUCAAGGCUUGUCGCAACUUAUUUGAAUCCUUUGACUGCAAGUCCAAGUAAUAGAGUUUUCCCCGCUUAAUACCAUAACCAAUCGUCUGUCUUGUUUGGAUGUCCUUAAAAACACAAAAUUCAAGCCAAAAAUGACAAUACAAGAUAAGGCUGUAGUGAUUUGAGAAACUGACAAAAGAUUGUAAUAUAAAGAUGGAACAACUAAAACAGAAUCUAAAUUCAAAGUAUCAGUAAGAGCUAAGGAUCCUUCCCCAAUGACUGUGGUUGUGUUACCAUUGGCUGUAGAAACAAUUUUUUGUGAGAAAGGUCUAAGAGGUGAGACUUGUCUAGAAUCAAAAGUCACAUGAUCUGUAGCACUAGAAUCAAUUAUCCAUGCACUAUUAAUAACAGGUGUAGAAGUAUUUAAAAACUUACCACCAUAAUUUGUAGCGGUUACCAAUGCAGAGGCUUUCUCAGCAACAUUAGCCUUUGUUUUUAUUUCGGCAACAGCUGCAGUCGAGGUUUUCUUGGAAUCAUUCUUCCGUUGAUCAUGAUUAUGAUCCCACCAGUCUAGAUAUCCCACAAUUUCAAAGCAACGACUAUUGGUAUGACCAGUCUUAUUGCAGUGAGUGCAUUUGAAGGUUGACUUAUCAAUAUUAGGGUUUGUCUUAGGAUGGUUGGUCUUGGAUUGGUCCUGCCAAUUUUGGGUUGAUCGUUGUCGGACUACCAUAGCUGAGGUGUCAAGGUUGUCAGAUUCUACUUUCAUACUAGCAUGACGCACUGCCUCUCGUCGAAUCAAUGCAUAACAUUCUUCCAAAUCCAGAAGAGGAUCUUUGCGUAGAAUCUCUCCUCGAACUUGCUCAAAGUCACCAUCCAAUCCAGCAAGAAAGAUGUGCACUCGUUGUCAUUCAAUGGAUUUUCAGUAUGCUGCAAUGUCCUCAAGGUCUUUCAUGACUACCUUAUCCCAAUUAUCCAAUUCACAAAAAAUUUCAAUUAACUCUCCAUAAUAUUCAGAAAGAGACCUAUCACUUUGUUUGGCAGUGAAGGCUUUUUUAUUCAAAGUGAAAACUUGUAAUUCAUCACUUGCAUCAUAGAAGGCCUUUGAUAAUGCACUCCAAAUUUCUUGAGCGGUGGGUAAGCGUAAGUAACGCUUCAUAAUUUCUGGACUCAUGGACAUUAACAACCAUCUCUUUACCUUUUGAUUCUCAGCAUACCAUUUUUCAUAUCCAUCUUUUGACUCUCUUAGGGAUUUGUAUUACCUCGAAUAUAGGAAAGUUUUUCCUGUUCGGCAAUAUGCAUCUCCACGAGUUGUGACCAAACGUCAUAGUUUGAUUCAGUCAAAAUAAUUCCUGGAUUAAAAGUACCUUCAAAUUGAAAAACAAUAGUAUUUUUUUCACUUUUUUUUCUUUUGAUCACGAAGGAGGGACAAUGACUGGCCUUACCGACAGAAUAUCCAGGAUUUCAAUUGUAUGGCUCUGAUACUAUCUUCAAAUUGAUGAAUGGUAGUUUUUCAUUUUAUUAUUUCAUUCGUUCAUGUAUAGAGUAUAUAUAGAGGGUAAUCACCAUUCUAAGAAUGGGAAAGAAUGAUACAAGAAAUUAAUGAUAUAAGGAAAGAACAACUAAUAUCCUAAUAUCUCAACAUUCCUAAUAUCUUAACAUUCCUAAUAUCUCAACUUUCCUGAUAUCUAAACAUUCCUAAUAUCUCAACACCAAUAUCAUAGAUGAUGAUAAUAAAAACAAGUCAAAUUUAGUAGAUAGAUGCAUUUAUAAUUGAACUACUACUCCUCCAGGUAUACCUUUCCCUCACUAACAAAUAAGUCAUUUUAUGGGUCUCAAAAGUUUUUAAAUAUGAAGCACUCGUUGACACAUAAGGAAAUUAAGAAAGAAAAAUGAUUUCAAUAUCAAUCAGGACACAAAAAUCUGAAAAGCCCUGAAUCGAGGCUUUAUUUAUUAUGUUAUAGACAAGGCAUGAGAGCUAUUAAUCCACAUCAAAUGCUCUUAACUUGAGUCCACCGACUAUCCAAUUCCCAAGCCUUUUGUGGAUGUGUAAAGAUCCUUGUACCUAAACCUGCGAGGACAAUCCAACUCCCAAUCCUCAAGAUCUUCGUGCUAUGUCUUCCUUUUUGUUGGUGUUUUAAGACAAGCUAAGGAAAGAAGACACAACAGAAAAUAAAGAAAAUAUAUCAGCGGAAGUCACUUUUAUUUCCUCCAUCCAACGUACAUUUAUAGAACUGGGAAAUAACUGAAAAGAGAAAAAAAAUCUCAAAUUCAAAACAGAUAGUACGUGAUCCACAAUUUAUGAAAGUGGACUCACAUCUCCUAAAGAAUAGGAACUAACAAUGACUUAGUUUUAUUCAAACUUUGAAAAAUUAAAACAUAACGCGGUAGUCCAAAAAGCAAACUUCUAACACUCCUCCUUGCUUUAGGAACUGCAAACUCCAAGCUUUUUUCUGAGAAACUCAAACUUAGUGACUAACAAAGGCUUUGUGAAUAUGUCAGCCAGUUGCUCUUCCUUUUUGCAGUAGCGAAGAUUAAUGUCUCCAUCUUUCUGCACACCUCUCAAAAAGAAGAGUUUGAUAUUGAAAUGCUUGGUUUUCCCAUGAAACACAGGAUUGUGAGAAAUUGCUAUUGUAUUUUGGUUGUCCACGAACACUUCAAUACCUUGUGUUUGCUUCAUAUGCAAAUCAACCAAAUUUUUCCUCAGCCACAAUGCUUGAUUUACUGUCGCGGUUGCUGCUACAAAUUCCGCUUUUGCAGUAGAUUGAGCCAUAAUAUCCUAUUUUUUCGAACACCGUGAGAAACUUCCUGAGCCAAGACUGAAACAAUACCUUGAAGUACUCUUCAUAUCAUCUAAGGAACCACCCCAAUCACUGUCAGAAUACCCGAACAGCUUCAUAUUUGGAAUCUUUUGAAACUUAACUCCAUAGUCGACAGUUCCUUUGAUGUACCACACAACUCUUUUUGCUGCCUUUAGAUGCACCUCACUAUCAUAAUGCAUAAACCUUGAUAGAGCACUUAUAGCAUACAAUAUAUCAGGCCUUGUUGCUGUAAGAUACAUCAAACAGCCAAUGAGACUUCUAAAGUAUGUAUCCUCCACCUUUUCAGCUCCAUCAUCUUUGCUUAGCUUUUCUUUUUGGUUCAUGGGAGUAUUCAUUUCUUUGCAAUCUUCCAUUCUGAACUUCUUGAGAAUCUCAUUUGCGUAUUUUCUCUAGCAAAUAAAAACUUGAUCUUUUCAUUGCUUGAUCUCCAUUCCAAGGAAGUAUGUCAUUAGACCAAGAUCUGUCAUUUCAAAAACUUGCAUCAUAUCCAGCUUGAACUCAUCAAUAAGCUUUGCACUACUUCCUGUAAUCAAAAGAUCAUCCAUAUAAAGAGAAACAACAAGAAUUUCAUUGUUAUUUUCCUUAACAUAAAGUGUGGAUUCUGAAAGACUUUUUUUCAAGUCCAGACCAAGCAAAUAAUCAUCUAUUCGACUAUACCAGGCCCUUGGUGCCUGUUUUAAGCCAUAAAGAGCUUUAUGAAGUCGACAGACUUUGUCUUCUUUGUCUUCCACAACAAAACCUUCAGGUUGCUCAACAUAAAUUUCUUCUUGAAGAAUUCCAUUAAGGAAUGCUGAUUUAACAUCCAUCUGAUGCACUUUCUAGCCAAGUUGCGCAGAAAUAGCACGAAGUAAUCUGAUUAUGUCAAGCCUUGCUACUGGAGCAAAUGUUUUAGAAUAAUCAACACCAAAAAUUUGUGCAUAUCCUUUAACUACAAGCCUUGCUUUAUACUUGUUGACUGAACCAUUAGCAUUUAGCUUGGUUCUAAACACCCAUUUUACCCCAAUUACCUUUCUUUCUUGAGGUCUAUCAACAAGCUCCUAGGUUUUGUUUUUUUCAAUCAUGAACAGCUCCUCCUUCAUUGCAUCCUUCCAUUUGGACUUUUUGAGUGCUUCUUCAUGGUUGGCAGGUUCAUAAAUUGCAACAUUGCAUCUCUGAUAAAUUUCAGAGAGCAAUCAAGUACCUCUUACUGGUGGAUCAUCCUCCCUUUCAUCUAAAAAACUUGUUUCAAGCUCUGUCUUUGAAUCUUCCCAAUCCCAUUCUUCAUUUUCCAUGAAGUGGACAUCUCUACUGAUAAUUAUAGUAUAAGUAUGUGGCUGAAAGACUUUAUAAGCCUUUGAAACUGUACUAUAACCAAUAAAAAUUCCUGCAACAGCUUUUUGUCUAGUAUAUCUCGUUUAACCUGAGGAACAUAGGUAAAACAAAGACAACCAAACACUUUAAGAAAAGUCAUUGGAGGUUUGUACCCAUACCAUGCUUCAAAAGGAAUUUGAUUCUUUACUGCCUUUGUAGAGAGUCUAUUAUGCAAAAAUAUAGCUGUGUUUGCAGCCUCUGCCCAAAAUUUCUUCAGCAAAUUCUUCUCGUGCAGCAUGCAUCUGGCCAUCUCCAUAAUAAAUCGAUUUCUUCGUUCACUCACUCCAUUUUGCUCUGGAGAAUAAGAAGCUGAAAGUUGGUGUUCAAUUCCUACUUCUUCACAAAAUAAAUUGAGUUGACAUGAAAUAUAUUCCUUGCCAUUAUCAGAUCUUAAAAUCUAAAUUUUGCAGCCACUUUCAUUCUCCACUUUUGCUUUGAACUUCUAGAAAGUGUUCCCAACCUCAGAUUUGAAUUUCAAAAAAUAUAUCCAGCACAUUCUGGUCAGAUCGUCUAUAAAAAUGAUAUAAUAGCGACUACCUUUGAGUGAGGGUGUCCUUUGAGGUCCUCCAACAUCGGUGUGAAUCAGCUGCAACUUAUUUGAGGCUCUCCAAGUUGCUGUUGGGAAUGGAAGUCUGCUUUGCUUUCCAUAUUGACAAGUCUGGUAGCUUGUGGAAAUCACUUCAAACUUAGGUAAGCCUUCCACCAUUUCUGAUUUUUUCAUUUUGAGAAGCCCUUGAAAAUGAAAGUACCCCAGCCACUUAUGCCAUAACUCAACAAUAUUUUCUUUUGUUGGAAAAGCUAUUUGUUCUUCCUCAAGUGGAUCUAAUGAGAAACUUUUUCCUCUCAUUUUGACCUUAAACAAGUCUGGACCAGAGGCAUCCUUGAUCAGGCAAUAAUUAUCUUCAAAAUACACCUUGAAACCUUUUUCUAGUAGCUAACCAACACUUAACAAGUUUUGGUCUAUUUUAGGUACAUAAAUCAUAUCAUCAAUGACUUUAGUACCUAAAUGGGUUGCAAUAGCAACAGUUCCAAUUCCUUUCGCAGGAAUAUGACCACCGUGACCUAUCCGGACUCUUGCAAUUCUUGUAGGCUUCAAUUCUUUGAAAAGUUCCUUGUCAUGAGUCAUGUGAUUGGUGCAUCCAUUGACAAUCAACCAGCUAUUGCUUGAAAUGCUACCUGAAAAACAAGUUGCAACAAAGAGAUGAUCAUUUUCAUCUUCAUUAGCGAUUUGGGCAUCUGCGUCUUGCUGCUGGUUUUGGUUCUUGCAAAUGAUAGCUUCAUGUCCAAGGUGAUUGCACUUGUUACACUUAUCAUCUGGCCUUUUCCAGCACUUGAACGGUGAGUGGCCAGUUCUAUCACAAUGCUUACAAGGUGGGUACUUUCCCUUGGAACUUCUAGCUUUGUUUUUGUUGCUCCUGUGCGCUGCAGCUUCUCCAUUUGCUUGCUGGUGCUUUCUAUUUUUCUUCUUUUUGUUUCUCCAACCAUCUUCAUGUUUGGCGGGCAAGGCUUCCUCUACAGUUGCUUCUUGUCUCAUAGCUAUUCGUUGUUCUUGCACCUGCAAAGAGUUCAACAACUCUGCCAACGUGAUUUUGGACAAGUCUUUGGUAUUUUCCAAAGUGGUUAGGGUAGCUUCAAAUCUUUCAGGAAGAGUAACCAGAAUUUUUUCAACAAUACGAGAGUCUUUAAACUCCGAACCAAGCAAUCUUACUCUGUUGGCUAUGCUUAAAAGCCUUUCAGAGUACUCCUUGAUGGUUUCUGACUCUUUCAUCUUCUACAACUCGAAAUCUCUGAUUAGAUUCAGCACUUUCAUGCCUUUAAUUCGAUCAUCUCCUUCAUAUUCAAAUUUGAGAUAACUCCAUAUGGCUUUGGCUGAUUUCAAAGACAUAAUUUGGGUGAAGAUUGUAGCUGAAACUGCUGCAAGUAGGCAAGCUUUUGCCUUAGACUUUCUGGUUUUCCUUUCCUCGUGAUUCUUGACUUGAGCCAUCGUUGGGUUGUCUAAUAGCGGAGGAACGUCAUAGUAAUCUUCAACAGCCUCCCAUAGAUCUACAACAUCUAGGUAGGCUUCCAUCCGCACAACCCAUAUGGUGUAAUUAUCACCAUUGAAGAUUGGAGGUGCCAUUGCUGAGAAACUUGAGUCUCCUUCCAUGCUUGAAAUUUUGGUGGAAUACGUGGUGUUUUGGUGGCCCUCAACUCUCAACUCACAAUUUUUUUCACUCACAAUCCCUUAAAGAAUAUAAAGCUCUGAUACCAAUUGUUGGUGUUUUAAGACAAGCUAAGGAAAGAAGACACAAUAGAAAAUAAAGAAAAUAUAUCAGCGGAAGUCACUUUUAUUUCCUCCAUCCAGCGUAUAUUUAUAGAACUGGGAAAUAACUGAAAAUAGAAAAAAAAUAUCAAAUUCAAAAUAGAUAGUACAUGAUCCACAAUUUAUGAAAGUGGACUCAAAUCUCCUCAAGAAUAGGAACUAACAAAGACUCAGUUUUAUUCAAACUUUGAAAAAUUAAAACAUAACAUGGCAGUCCAAAAAACAAACUUCUAACACUUUUAUACAACACGUCGAAUCAACCGUUGCUCCGAACACCAAAAGGAUCACAGCUAAAGCCGCAAUUAAAACCUUAAAAAGAUUGGUGGCGCUGGGAGCAUAGAAAGAUUGAGCGGACGAGCUGUUCCAUUGAUGCAAAAACUCCAUCCCAAUAUGUAAUGAGAGCUCCUCUCUUCUCCCGUGGAUGCAGAAAAACCAACAUACAUACUGUUCGUGACAACCCUAGAUAGCUCGAUUCCUUUAGACAUGAGUGGUUUCAUUGGUUUGUCCGGAAUCGAUAAUGGAGCGAUUGUGA